UUAAUAAUAAUAAAAUGAAAAUGGAAAAUAAAAAUGGAAAAAAAUAAAAUAAAACAAAAGGAAAGAAAAUAGAAUGCAUGCACUAGGGGUUGAACCAUUGACCUUUGGGUCACAAAAGAUCAACCUCCUCCCCACUGGGCCAAGCGCCCACUUGUGAUAAAAAAACACACUUAAUAAAUAAAAUAAUAAAUCAAUAGUCAAAAUGCA
rnacentral:lncRNA from 1 species